GUUGUGGUUGUUGAUGCUGCUGCUGCUGCUGUCUUCGUUUGAACCGACGCCACGACUGUUCGGGGAAGCCUCGCGAAUCCUGGGACAGAAAAAGAGAAAAAAGAGCUGUUUGUUGCAAGACAAAGUACACAUCAGCCUUGAGCCGAUUUCCACUGACGUACCACCACCGUCAGCGUACCAAUGGGAGCGGAGGUGCCCCAUAAAUCCCUCCUCCCGGCCUGGAAAGCGUCUCGUUCCUGACCAAUCAGUUCCCAGUGUUUGCACAACUGAACCCGCCUCCUAAGUACGUUACAUCCAUUGACGUCAAUAAACCUGGCGCAGAUAUCCACGUGAGCCAUUGGUCAAUCAUGUGAUGGUAUAAACCUUGCCAGCCUGGGAAUGACGCAUAUGCUUUCGAGAAAACAUAAUGAUUUAUGCAUUUCGUGUGUGCACAGGAGGGGACCAUCGGAAUUAAACAUGUAGAGAGGCUUUGAUUAAACUGGAUGCAUGAGUUAUUAAAUGCUUAUGCCUAUAGGUCCCAGCUUUGUUGUUAACCUAUAGCACAUAAUUAAAUCCAUAAAUCCAUAAAAUAGGCUGUCUGUAUGUCUAAUAUAUCAGAGAGAGAGAGAGAGAGAGAGAGAGAGAGAGAGAGAGAGAGAGAGAGAGAGAGAGAGAGAGAGAGAGAGAGAGAGAGAGAGAGAGAGAGAGAGAGAGAGAGAGAGAGAUAA